AGAGUUUGAUCAUGGCUCAGGACGAACGCUGGCGGCGUGCUUAACACAUGCAAGUCGAAGAUGAUGCUUGGUGCUUGCACUGGGUGGAUUAGUGGCGAACGGGUGAGUAAUACGUGAGAACCUGCCCCUGUCUUUGGGAUAAGCCUGGGAAACUGGGUCUAAUACUGGAUAUUCUGCUGAACCGCAUGGUUUUUGUUGGAAAGAUUUUUUGGAUGGGGAUGGGCUCACGGCCUAUCGCUUGUUGGUGGGGUGAUGGCCUACCAAGGCGUCGACGGGUAGCCGGCCUGAGAGGGUGCCGGCCACAUUGGGACUGAGAUACGGCCCAGACUCCUACGGGAGGCAGCAGUGGGGAAUUUGCACAAUGGACGCAAGUCUGAUGCAGCGACGCCGCGUGGGGGAUGAAGGCUUUCGGGUGUAAACUCCUUUCAGUACAGAAGAAGCGAAAGUGACGGUAUGUGCAGAAGAAGCACCGCUAACUACGUGCCAGCAGCCGCGGUAAUACGUAGGGUGCGAGCGUUGUCCGGAAUUAUUGGCGUAAAGAGCUCGUAGGCGGUUUGUUGCGCCUGCUGUGAAAACCUGGGGCUUAACUUGGGAUUGCAGUGGGUACGGGCAGACUAGAGUGUGGUAGGGGUAAUUGGAAUUCCUGGUGAGCGGUGGAAUGCGCAGAUAUCAGGAGGAACACCGAUGGCGAAGGCAGGUUACUGGGCCCCACUGACGCUGAGGAGCGAAAGCGUGGGUAGCGAACAGGAUUAGAUACCCUGGUAGUCACGCCGUAAACGUUGGGCACUAGGUGUGGGGCCUUUCCAUGGGUUCUGCGCCGUAGCUACGCAUUAAGUGCCCCGCCUGGG
rnacentral:rRNA from 1 species